CCAUGUCCAGCUCCAAUCUCAAGGAGGAGAAAACCAUCUAUCUUCAUCUGUGCUAGCAGGCUGCUCAGUAUGAGAACAUGGAGGACUGAAAUGAUUAAGCCUGACAGAACCCAACUCUCUGGAGAAACCCUUGAUUGGGAUUUGGAAGAUUGAAAGGCUCCAGGUUUCCACAGAAAGAGCUGGGGCAAUCCUAGAGCAAGGUGCUGGCGUGCAGUAGGCUGCCGUCCUUGAGCGGAUGCCUCACUGACAGCGACGGAGUUCCAGCCAUGCUGCACUUGCUCCAGCCACUGACUUAGAGACAGCAACCUGUACAGGCACCAAGCAAAAGAAGAAAUCUGGAGAUCUCAAUGAGACCAGGAAAAUCUCUCUUCAAUAUUUCAAACCUUUCAAAAGCCAGGUUGGUUUUCAUUUCCUUAUCUUCCUACUGUUGACUGAGUUCUAGCUACGAGGUGCUGUGCUGAACACUUAGAUCCAUUGUGUCCUUGACUCUUCUUAAGAGUUCUGUGAGGUCAGUGUGAUUAUCUCCAUUUGACGGCUGAAUAAUCUGAGACUGAGAGAAAUUAAACAAUAUGUCUGCUUUCGUUUGUCCCCUCCAAAACUCAUGUUGAAGUUUGAUUCUCAGUGUGGCAGUAUUGGGAGGUGGGGGCUAGUGGAGAUGUUUGGAUCAUGGGGGCAGAUUUCUCAUGAAUAGAUUAGGGCCCUUCUUCUGGGCUGAGUUCUCGCUCUCAGGAAUGGAUUAGUUCUGGAGAGAGCAGGUUGCUAAGAAGAAUCUGGCUUCUUCAGUCAGCGCUCUUGCUUCCUAUCUCUCCAUGUGAUCUCUGCACAGACCCACUGCCCUUCUACUUUCCACCAUGAGUUGAAGCAGCCUGAUGCCCUCAGCAGAUGCAGCUGCCCAAUCUUGAACCUUCCAGCCACCAAAAUUAUAAGCCAAAUAAAUCUUUUCUGUAUAAACUACCCAGUCUCAAGUAUUCUGUUAUAGCAACACCAAACAAAGUAAGACAAUGUCCAAGGCCACCCACCUACAAAGUGUGGAUUUGAGGUUUUAAACUCAAUUUUUCUGACUUCAAGAGCCCCUGGUUCUACUCAUUAUACUCUACUAUCUCAUCUAUGCAUUUUUUUUCUAAGAAAUGGAAAGCAAAAGCAUGUACAUUUUAAAAUAAAGUCUGAGCUCUUGUCUGUUUUUCACUUUAUUAAGGCUAUGGAGUUGGGUACAAAUCCAUCACUGUGGGAUCCCAGAUGCAGUUAGUUGAUUAUACCUGAAAGG
rnacentral:lncRNA from 10 species